rnacentral:lncRNA from 1 species
CAGCGCAGGUACUGGAAUACCUCAUACUGGGGUAAAGAAGACAUGUGUGUUACACAGGAACGGAGCUGCAGCUCACAAGUAGCAGCAGUGAAUGAGAAAGAGGAAACUGUUUAACAAGUGAAUAAACUAAUGGAAUUAGAAUUUGAUAAAUCCCUACACUUUACGAAGCUCUCCAGGAACAGCCAAGUUGAGAGCAGAAGUGAGUGGGAAGAGGCAUUUUCAUGUUGGGAUGAUGCUCUACAUGUUUCUUACAUUGCUGUGGCACUCCAUAAGACAAGGGCGCAACUGUAGCUGCAGGAGUUACAUUC